rnacentral:rRNA from 1 species
AGAAUUGAUCUGGUUCAGGAUGAACGCUAGCUACAGGCUUAACACAUGCAAGUCGAGGGGCAGCAUGGUCUUAGCUUGCUAAGGCUGAUGGCGACCGGCGCACGGGUGAGUAACGCGUAUCCAACCUUCCCCAUAGUAGGGGAUAGCCCGGCGAAAGUCGGAUUAAUACCCUAUGUUAUUCGAUGCAGACAUCUAAGUUGAAUCAAAGGUUUACCGCUAUGGGAUGGGGAUGCGUCUGAUUAGGUUGCAGGCGGGGUAACGGCCCACCUGGCCUACGAUCAGUAGGGUUCUGAGAGGAAGGUCCCCCACAUUGGAACUGAGACACGGUCCAAACUCCUACGGGAGGCAGCAGUGAGGAAUAUUGGUCAAUGGGCGAGAGCCUGAACCAGCCAAGUAGCGUGCAGGAUGACGGCCCUAUGGGUUGUAAACUGCUUUUAUGCGGGGAUAAAGUGAGGGACGUGUCCCUUUUUGUAGGUACCGCAUGAAUAAGGACCGGCUAAUUCCGUGCCAGCAGCAGC